rnacentral:rRNA from 1 species
UUAAACGAUGGAUGCUCGAUGUCGGCCCGCAAGGGUCGGUGUUUAAGCUAACGCAUUAAGCAUCCCACCUGGGAAGUACGAUCGCAAGGUUGAAACUCAAAGGAAUUGACGGGGGCCCGCACAAGCAGUGGAGCAUGUGGUUUAAUUCGAUGCAACGCGAAGAACCUUACCUGGGUUUGAAAGGCAAGUGACAACCGAUGAAAGUCGGUCUCCCCGCAAGGGGCACUUGUACAGGUGCUGCAUGGCUGUCGUCAGCUCGUGCCGUGAGGUGUUAGGUUAAGUCCUGCAACGAGCGCAACCCCUGCACUUAGUUGCCAUCAGGUCAAGCUGGGCACUCUAAGUGGACUGCCUACGCAAGUAGCGAGGAAGGUGGGGAUGACGUCAAGUCCUCAUGGCCCUUACACCCAGGGCUACACACGUGCUACAAUGGCCGCUACAAUGGGUCGCAAGAGCGCAAGCUGGAGCCAAUCCCACAAAAGCGGUCUCAGUUCGGAUUGAGGGCUGCAACUCGCCCUCAUGAAGCUGGAAUUGCUAGUAAUCGCGGAUCAGCACGCCGCGGUGAAUACGUUCCCGGGCCUUGUACACACCGCCCGUCAAGCCAUGGAAGCUGGGGGUACCCGAAAUCGGUGUGCGAACCGCAAGGACGCAGCCGCCUAAGGUAAAACCAGUGACUGGGGCUAAGUCGUAACAAGGUAACCGUA